UACGUAGGGGGCAAGCGUUGUCCGGAAUCAUUGGGCGUAAAGCGCGUGUAGGCGGCUAGGUAAGUCUGCUCUGAAAGCCCGGGGCUCAACCCCGGGAGGCGGGUGGAUACUGUCUAGCUCGAGUCCGGAAGAGGAGUGUGGAAUUCCUGGUGUAGCGGUGAAAUGCGCAGAUAUCAGGAGGAACACCAAUGGCGAAGGCAGCGCUCUGGGACGUGACUGACGCUGAGACGCGAAAGCGUGGGGAGCAAACAGG
rnacentral:rRNA from 1 species